CCCUAUCAUACUACCUCGUCACUCUGCACCGCAUAUCUUUAGUGAGAUAAGAGGCACAGGAUCAAAAUGGCGUCUCUUCUCAGCUUGUGUUUACUUCUACAGGCUACGGUGACAGUGUUUGGAUACCCUAGUACAGACAACAUCAACUUCUACUGUGGCAGUACAAUCACUGUCUUCGAUUCCGUGAUCCUGAAGCUAAAGAGUUACUCCUGGCCUAACGACGAUACAUGCUCAGUUACGCUCACGGCAAGCAGCUUCUACCACACCAACGCCUACCUCUCUGUGCAGUUCCUCGACAUCGCCCUUCCUGACGGUCUUUUGGGCGACUGCUCCCGCAGUCGUGUGGAUGUCAAGGAUCCAUCUGGCACCUUCCUGAGCAGUCAGUCGGGUGUGUGUGGCUACACGACGCCGUUUGAUCAGCCCUGGACAAGCAGUGGCGACAGUGUAGUGGUCAGACUCAAACGUCUCCAGUCGGGGCAGACCGGGUCAUUCCGGAUCUUGGUGUCGCAGUUUGCCAAUGGUGUCUGUGACGAAUAUGGCGAAUAUGAUUGUGAUAACGGCCGAUGUGUGGACAGCACCGUCACUUGUGACGGCUACGACGACUGCACCGACGACUCCGAUGAAACCUCCGCCUGUACCUGGGGAGCAGGAAGCAUUGCCGGUGUUGCUAUCGCCGUCACCUGUACCGUCCUCAUAUUCUUCGGCAUUUCUUUUGCAGUCUAUAGACGAAGAACAUACGGGACUGUGUUUUGGCGUUCCCCCGUUAUGUACGGCGGUCAGACGGUAGUACAGAACAACAUGGCCCUCAACCCCCAGUACGGAGUGCAGAACCCGGCCCCCGUUUACACCGUGGCGCCCCCUCCAUAUAGCGCCACAUGAUCAACUAAACUCUCUCUUUGCUUUUUGAUGAAUAUGACAUGUUGUAAAUCAAAUAUGUAGAUACAAUACCACCGAAAAUGUAAAGUAAUCGCUUCAUUAUAGCGAGGCUGGUGUUAUAAAACAUGUAAUUUUUUUUUUAAUAGUCGUUUUUAAUCUAGAGACUUCGUGCAAUACUUGAGACAAUUAAUUUUGUAGAAUCAUUGAAACAUAUUUAUAUACAUAUUGAUAAAAAAAUUCAACAUUUAUUAGUUUUGACUUUCAAAUAUAACGUUUAGUAACAGUGACAAUUUCCCCUAUAUCCAAACCAUUCGGAGAAAAUUUCAUUAUUCAGCUUGGUAAAUAUACAUAUAUGCAGGUAUGUUUCUGCUGAAUGGGUAUAUAUAUAUAUAUAUAUAUAUAUAUGCAGGUAUGUUCCUGCUGAAUGGGUAAAUAUGCAUGUAUGUUCCUGCUGAAUGGGUAAAUAUACAUAUAUGCAUGUAUGUUCCUGCUGAAUGGGUAAAUAUACAUGUAUGUUCCUGCUGAAUGGGUAAAUAUACAUGUAUGUUCCCGCUGAAUGGGUAAAUAUACAUGUAUGUUCCUGCUGAAUGGGUAAAUAUACAUAUAUAGAUGUAUGUUCCUGUUAAAUGGGUAAAUAUACAUAUAUAGAUGUAUGUUCCUGCUGAAUGGGUAAAUACACAUGUAUGCAGGUAUGGCCCUGCUGAAUGUGUGACUAGGAAAAGAUUCCCCUUUUCAUUGACACCUGGUUUUAUCACAAGGAAUCCAUUUAUAUUAUUUCAAGAUCCUACUGGGAAAUAAUCAAGACCGAUUUUUCCAGCGUCGACAUAGCGUCUUUAUGUAACGGCGCACAAAUAUGUUCAACAUGGAUAACAUUUUGAUUUGGGGACACUGUUAGUGCAGUUAUCAAAUGGACGCUUUAAAAUGACAUCAUCCGUAUACAAUUAUUGAUAAAUGUCUGGAUUAAUUUGAAUGACUCUUGUUGAAAUAAAAGUAAUAUUUUUUUAAUUAUUUGACAUCAUCUUUUCUGUUACUAUCUCCCGGAAACACUGAUUGGAAGUUAGACCCAUUCUCUUCCCACAGAGGUUACUUGUCAUACAUUCCUACGAGGGAGAUAUGACAAGUAACCUCUGUGGAAAGAGAAUGAGUUAGACCAUGAAGCGAGAUAAUAAUCUUAUCCAUAGUGUAUGAGUUUAAAGGUUUUUGUUUGUUGUUUAACGCCGCACUCUACGAUAUUCCAGCUGUAUGGCGGCAGUCUGUAAAUAAUUGAAUCUGGUGCAGGCAAUCCAGUGAUUGACACCAUGAGCAUCGAUCUACGCAACUGGGAAACGAUGACAUAUGUCAACGACGUCAGUGAGCCUGACCACCGAUCCCGUUAGUCGCCUCUUAUGACAAGCAUUGGUUGUUGAAGACCAAUAUUGUAACCCGGGUUUUCAAUGGUUGCACGUGUUAAGUAGCCGUCCUUUGUGUAGUUUGUUUAUUUGUGACGUCCUAGUCAGUUCAAUAUAUUGCUUCGGUCUGUAAGGAGUCUUGACAAUCUUAUGAUUAACAUCAUGAGCAUCGACAUUUGCAAUUGGGAUACGAUGACGUAUGCCAACCGAGUCAGCAAGCCCGAUCCCGUUAGUCGCCACCUAACAUGGGCUGUAUGAGGUUCUUUGUGUAGAACAUGUAUGUAUUUAGGAGAGAAUAUAAUAUUUAUAUAUCCAGAAUAGUUAAAAGCAGGGGAAAAAAUGUUUUCUAGCAUGUUACAUGUUUUACAUAAUUAAAGGUGUAUUGGUA